CGUCCAGGGUUUUUGUGACACACACAGAGCACAGAUUUUUUUGAUUAUGUAGAUUUCUUUUCCUACUGCAGUUUCAUAUGCAAAGCAUGCAUCAGCCACAUCCAUGCUAUCUCCUAAAGCAGUCAUUCUGAAACCCAAUCUGGGGACAGUGCAGACUAAAUAAAAUUUCAUUUUGAUUUGGCCUCCCGCUGCGAACGGGACUGCUUUGUCUCAGCCGACAGAACCAGCAAGCCAGAAAGGAGCUUACAGCAGGACCUCUCUCCUCAGACCCAGACAGCCCUUAGACAGAGACUGCACUGGGAACAUUCCUAGAGUCCCUGCCGGCCUGCAGUUCCCCUGGGUCUUAUGUGGAAAUGAGCCUCUCAGCACACAGACAAGAGCCCUGGGCUCAUAUGGGACAUCAAAGAAUAAAUCCUUCCCUGGGAACCCUCAGAGAACUGAGUUGUUCAACACUCUCUGACAUGCCAUAUUCAGCUGCUGAGCCUUUAAGAUUACUGGCAAUGAGGAUGCAGAGGUCGCCAACAGGAGUCCAGCUUAGCGGAAAUGAACAGCCACCCUCAAAUGUCCGAUGGGAAUGGCCAUCUUGCACUCAAACACAAAGCAAAUGG